rnacentral:lncRNA from 1 species
CCCUUUGGCCUCCUGAUACAGACAUGCACAGGACACUACAGUGAGCUCCAGGCCUUCGGCUGUAUCCUUCCAAUCUCCAGGACACAGAAAGACCUUUGGCUCUCUUCCACACCUGACUCUAGAUGGCCAUUGGCCCCCCACUCUUCUGCCUGUCUCCACAGCCUGUUCUCUGGGCCUGCACACAGCUGCCGUCCGGGUGCACCUGCCUGGGUCCCAGUCAGCAGGGAGCCGGACAUGAAAGACUGGGCAGUUCAAGAGGAACCCCAUAUGCGGGGAAAGCUAAAAAAUGACAUUGGAUCCCCACAGCCAGAGGCAGACUCAGGAAAGACAGAGAGGACCUGGAGCUUGCACCAAGGGCUGACCCUGGGCUCAUCACAGAGCCCACUCACAGGCAGUUAAACAGAACAACACAGUGACAAUGGGAACAGCGCACACCGUGGGCGAGGGGGAGAUCUGAUUCCUAGAAAUUAUGACAUUGAUGGGUUACAAUGUCCAGUUUUCAAUAAAAAUCUCAAGGCCUAGAAAGAAACAGGAAUUUAUGAUGCAUUUAAGGGGGGAAAAAAGUAGAAACCAUCCCUGGAAAAGAGCAAAUGGCAAAUCUGCUGGGCAGGCUAAAACAACUGGCCUUGGAGAUGCCCAGGAAAGAUUUGGGUGAGGCCAAUGGCAUGAUGAAUAAACAGAAUGCAAAUACCAUAGAGAUGUAAAAUCUAG